rnacentral:lncRNA from 1 species
AUUUAUUUUCUAGGUACUUCAAAUACUCUAGAUCAAGUUUAACGGAGCCGAUUGACGAUUCGAAAGUCGCAACAUCAAAAACGAGCUGGAAGCACGGAAGGCUCCGUGCUUCCGAUAGCAUAGUAGCCUCACUCUAUAUAUAUAUAUAUAUAUAUAUAUAUAUAUAUAUAACGUAAAAUAAUUUCAAGUUCGGGUUCGGUCAGAUUCGGGUCCGGAUCAGGUAUAAUCAAAAUCCAUAUUUGAAUCCAAAUCCGUCGAUUUUUCUAUUUUGAUACUCAUAUUCGAAACUAUAUCCUAUUAGCAUUGGGUAAUUCGGAGUCGGAUAAAAUUUCUGAUAUACCUUAUCCAUUGACAUUCCCAGUUGGGU